rnacentral:rRNA from 1 species
UACAGAGGGUGCGAGCGUUAAUCGGAGUUACUGGGCGUAAAGGGCGCGUAGGCGGUCGACUAAGUGGGAUGUGAAAGCCCCGGGCUCAACCUGGGAACUGCAUCUGUGACUGUAUAGCUAGAGUACGGUAGAGGGGGAUGGAAUUCCGCGUGUAGCAGUGAAAUGCGUAGAUAUGCGGAGGAACACCGAUGGCGAAGGCAAUCCCCUGGACCUGUACUGACGCUCAUGCACGAAAGCGUGGGGAGCAAACAGG